UCGAGGAUCUUCGGCAAUGAGCGCAAGCUUGACCGAGCGACGCCGCGUGGACGAUGAAGGCCUUCGGGUUGUAAAGUCCUGUCGAGGGGGAUCAAGGGAAACUUGAGUGAUCCCUGGAGGAAGCACGGGCUAAGUUCGUGCCAGCAGCCGCGGUAAGACGAACCGUGCAAACGUUGUUCGGAAUCACUGGGCUUAAAGGGCGCGUAGGCGGCUAACCAAGUCAGUGGUGAAAUCCUGCAGCUUAACUGUAGAAGUGCCUUUGAUACUGGUUGGCUCGAGGGAGGUAGGGGUAUGUGGAACUUCUGGUGGAGCGGUGAAAUGCGUUGAUAUCAGAAGGAACGCCGGUGGCGAAAGCGACGUACUGGACCUCUUCUGACGCUGAGGCGCGAAAGCUAGGGGAGCAAACGGGAUUAGAUACCCCCGUAGUCC
rnacentral:rRNA from 1 species